rnacentral:rRNA from 1 species
AUUGAACGCUGGCGGCAUGCCUUACACAUGCAAGUCGAACGGCAGCGCGGGGCAACCUGGCGGCGAGUGGCGAACGGGUGAGUAAUAUAUCGGAACGUGCCCUGGAGUGGGGAUAACGUAGCGAAAGUUACGCUAAUACCGCAUACGAUCCAAGGAUGAAAGCAGGGGGACCUUCGGGCCUUGUGCUCCUGGAGCGGCCGAUAUCUGAUUAGCUAGUUGGUGGGGUAAAAGCCUACCAAGGCGACGAUCAGUAGCUGGUCUGAGAGGACGACCAGCCACACUGGAACUGAGACACGGUCCAGACUCCUACGGGAGGCAGCAGUGGGGAAUUUUGGACAAUGGGGGGCAACCCUGAUGGAGCAACGCCGCGUGUGUGAUGAAGGUUUUCGGAUCGUAAAGCACUUUCGACCGGGACGAAAAACCUCUGGCUAACAUCCAGGGGCCUGACGGUACCGGGAGAAGAAGCACCGGCUAACUCUGUGCCAGCAGCCGCGGUAAU